rnacentral:misc_RNA from 1 species
GGAUCAUCUGUCAAUCAACAUUUCCUGCCGCCGCCAGAUCAGUGGGACGUGGUAACGUGGCAAGCAAAUGAUAUAGGCAGCGCUAAACUUUCUAUCUUCCCUACCGUAAUUGAUUCAUAUAUAUCACAAGUUGGGAUUUUCGAUUGGGCGUCCGAGAAAUUCAAAUUUGUGACAGGCACGGAAAAUUCUCUCUCCACUAGUAAGCUCAAACUCUUUCUUUCGGUUUUCGUCCGUGUUUGGUUCUCGAGAAAUCAAACAAAAGAAAUGAAAAUUAUUUAUCUACGCUGAUUCGGGUCUUCGCCAAAAAGGAGGGAUUCUAACAGUAAACUCUUUCUAAUUCUAUGGCUUUUGUUUGCUGAGAAUAUGCGUAACUCAUUUAUGUAGAAUUUCGAUGAAGUUGUAGAAUUUAAUCAAGCAUAUUCCUUACAUGAACAAUUAGGGUUUCAGUUCUUGGCUCCAUUCAACCUUUCAAGGGAAAGAAAAAAAAAAAAAAGCAUAUUCCGUGUACUUAGUUCACGUGAGACGAUGUGUAAUCUUGCCAGUGAAGCUGAAUAUGUUGUACUUUCGUUUUUCGUUUAAAAAAUAAUUAAAAAAAUCGAAUUUUGUGGCUGUAUUGAUUACAUAUGUUUUUGCAUAGUUGGUGUUUCUGAAGAAACUUGAUAGAUAUUAAAUCAUAAAAAACAGUGCUAUGUUGUUCUACUUAUUUUGUGCGAGUCUUUGAAUUUUGGAUGUUUGAGGCUGAUAUAACUGGAUAUUUGAUAGUUGUGCUGACCAAGGUAACAUGGGCGAAGGGAGGCAAGUUUCAGAUAUGUUGUCUUUUGAAUUGGACUGAAUAAGCUCAACUAUUUGAUAAUUGGUAUUAAAACUUUCUGGUCAAGCUAGCUAGUCAUUAUAUCUUUAGUUAAAUAUAGCUUUAAAAAGUUGAUUGUAUUUAACUGGAUUAAAUAUCAGCUAUUACUUAAGCUUCAUUUCUCUAUAGUUUUUUUUGUAGAUUUAUUAAGGAUAAAGGGUAGAUCAUAAUCAUUGUGAUAGGAUCUUUCCUUUUAGCAUUAUUAGCAUAUGUGUGUAGGGGCGUUUUAUUAAGAAUAUUAAUUCAUUCCUGAUCAUAUAAUCAUUCCAAUACCAAGAGAAAUGGCUGAAAAGCUUAGAAUACCAGAGCCGGCUACUUCCUUUGAGUAUGAGCCUUUUGAAGGAGAUCCUGAGCACCUCAGGAUAGUUGUUGCUACACCUAAGCAGAUUUCACCUUGGAUUGAAGCAGCUGAAUUGAAACUAAAACACAGGAUUGGACAUGGCAUCUUUGGUGAUGUUUGGUUAGCAACACAUCAUUAGUCAGCUGAUGACUUUGAGAAGUAUCAUGAAGUGGUUGUUAAGAUGUUUUAUCCCUUGAAGGAGGACCUCACACAAAUGUUUGUGGACAAGUUUGAGAGGAUAUUUUUGAAGCGUCAAGAAAUGCAAGGUGUUGGUUGGUUGCAUGGUGUCUCAAUUAUGAAUGGACAGGUGACUUCCCCACAAGUAAAUUUAUUCUUUCUCAUUGGGAAUCAAUCCUUCAACUUCGGUAAUGGUGUUUUCCUUUAUAUUUUUGGUUUCUUUGGUUUUCAAUAACAGCUCUGAAGAAUCUGUUAUGAUAAAAGU